rnacentral:rRNA from 1 species
UACAGAGGGUGCAAGCGUUGUUCGGAAUUAUUGGGCGUAAAGCGCGUGUAGGCGGCUUUGCAAGUCGGGUGUGAAAGCCCUCAGCUUAACUGAGGAAGUGCGCCCGAAACUGCAGAGCUUGAAUACCGGAGAGGAUGGCGGAAUUCCCCAAGUAGAGGUGAAAUUCGUAGAUAUCGAGAGGAACACCGGUGGCGAAGGCGGCCAACUGGACGAAUACUGACGCUGAGACACGAAAGCGUGGGGAGCAAACAGG